CUGCUAGGGAGGAUGUCGGGCUCGUCGCUGCCCAGCGCCCUGGCCCUCUCGCUGUUGCUGGUCUCUGGCUCCCUCCUCCCAGGGCCAGGCGCCGCUCAGAACGUGUAACCUCACCUCCAGCUCUCACACUCUUACAUACAGCUACUGGACAAAGAAUGGGGUGGAACUGAGUGCCACUCGUAAGAAUGCCAGCAACAUGGAGUACAGGAUCAAUAAGCCGAGAGCUGAGGAUUCAGGCGAAUACCACUGCGUAUAUCACUUUGUCAGCGCUCCUAAAGCAAACGCCACCAUUGAAGUGAAAGCCGCUCCUGACAUCACUGGCCAUAAACGGAGUGAGAACAAGAAUGAAGGGCAGGAUGCCACUAUGUAUUGCAAGUCAGUUGGCUACCCCCACCCAGACUGGAUAUGGCGCAAGAAGGAGAACGGGAUGCCCAUGGACAUUGUCAAUACCUCUGGCCGCUUCUUCAUCAUCAACAAGGAAAAUUACACUGAGUUGAACAUUGUGAACCUGCAGAUCACGGAAGACCCUGGCGAGUAUGAAUGUAAUGCCACCAACGCCAUUGGCUCCGCCUCUGUUGUCACUGUC
rnacentral:sRNA from 1 species